AGAGAAAGCAGGUCGAAAAAAUUCAACUACUUCCAUAGUGUGGUGCAAAGAGCCCACCCCUGGGAGCUGACAGGAAUUCUGGCUCUUGCCCUGCCACUGACCUAGCUUCUGAUGGUGGGGAAGUUCCUUCCUUUCUGUGGGCCUCAUACCACAUGAUUGUUGAGUGCCUCAUUGCAAUGAAGGGUUUUUUUUUUUUUUUUGCAUAUGGCUUGUAAGAAGGGACUUGGGAUGAUGAAAGGUGACAUACACUGAAAUUGAUAAUGUAGCAAAAUUAAAAUAAACGGCAUAGCAAAAUGAACAGUUUAUAGUAUUUUCCUCAUGUGCAUCAAACAAAUGAUUGUAAAAAGAAAUAUUUAGAAGGUAUUAUAACAAUCAUUCUGGCAAUCCAAUUUAGCUAUUUUGAGACAGGAAAUAAAAUCAGGGAAAAAAUGUAAGAAAUUUCAUUUUUCUAAAGAGAAAAUACACUAUACCUAUGAAGAAAUGUAUGCUAUGUGAACACUUUUAAAAAACAACAUACUUGGAAUUUUUAAAAUAAGCCGAACAACCACAUGCUUAGAAGCUCUAUCACAUGACCUCCUGAUCUUCCACGAUUCUCUACUGGUACAGAGACUUUAUCUUUCACACAGACUUCAAAUAUCUUUGGGAAUUUGUGCUCCUUAUUUACUGAGUGCUUGAGAAGAAAAGACAAAGCCAGUGGAAUGGUCCGAGUGUGGCAUCCGCUGCAUUUAUAAAGAAUAAGAGCUGCAGUGGGUGUGAUUCUUGGACAGAGUGGCGCUCAUCCUUGUUCCUGCAAUGAAGGACAUGCCAGCCUCCAGGCUCUUUGACAGAUGAUUGGAACUGUGCAAAUAUUAUGGAAGAUACCCCGUGUCAAGAAGCUGACAGCACACACGUUUGGGAAGGAUUUAGUGGCUGAAGCACUUCUAGAAGGUACAUACAUGAUUGACUCACUCUCACUUUGAAAUGAAGCUAUUUACUUCUUUUACCUUGAGAAAUGCCAAAACCUAGGGGGAAAGACUUAUUAUUGGGUGCAAUGCAAAGUCUUCACAAUUAUAAUUAAAAAGUAAAGUUUUCAUGAUUGUUAUUAAUUUACUAAGUGAUAAUCAUAACAGAAAAUAAAAUAUAUCUGAAUAUUAUAUCAUAAGAUAUAAUCUUAUAUUUUGCUCUUUUUUUGCUUUUCUAUUUGGAAUGACUCUAAAGGUAUUAGAAGUGUAUCGUGAUGAUGACCUUUUAAAAUGAAAAACAAGAAAGCUAAUUUCUCACUCAAGAUUUAGUAUCGCAUCAUCAGAGCACAAACGAUUAGACCAAAAGGACCUUAUACCAAAUCAGGGCCAUGCAGGCUGACAAGAAGUAAAUGAGAUAAAUCAUUUCAUUACAUUUGUAUUCACAGAAGUAUCACAACGUCAUGCUAACCGGGCCCAAGAAAUUGGAAACAGAAUGCUG
rnacentral:lncRNA from 10 species